rnacentral:rRNA from 1 species
GAUGAACGCUGGCGGCGUGCCUAAUACAUGCAAGUCGAACGAACAGACGCGUAUCUUGCUCCUCUGACGUUAGCGGCGGACGUGUGAGUAACACGUGGAUACCCUGCCUUUAAGAUUGGUUUAACUUCGUGAAACCAGUACUAAUACCGGAUCCUUUCUUCAUCCGCAUGGUUCAAUAGUGUAAGACGGUUUUGCUGUCCCUUCUAGUUAUAUCCGGGCUGCUUUAGCUAUUUGUUAAGGUAACGGCUUACCAAGGCGACGAUGCGUAGCCGACCUGCGAGGGUGAACGGCGACAGUGGAACUGAGACACGGUACAGAGUCCGAGGGGAGGCAGAAGUAGGGAAGCGUCCGAAAUGGGCGAAAGCCUGACGGAGCAACGCAGGGUGAGUGAUGAAGGGCUUCGGAUCGUAAAACGCUGUUAGGAGGGAAGAACAAAUGUGGAAGGAACUAUGCACGUGUUGACGGUACCUGAACAGAAAGCAACGGCUAACUACGUG